rnacentral:rRNA from 1 species
UACAGAGGGUGCGAGCGUUAAUCGGAAUUACUGGGCGUAAAGCGUGCGUAGACGGUUAUUUAAGUCGGGUGUGAAAGCCCCGGGCUCAACCUGGGAAUUGCAUUCGAGACUGAAUAGCUAGGGUACGGUAGAGGGAAGCGGAAUUUCCGAUGUAGCGGUGAAAUGCGUAGAUAUCGGAAGGAACAUCAGUGGCGAAAGCGGCUUCCUGGACCAGUACCGACGUUCAGGCACGAAAGCGUGGGGAGCAAACAGG